UUGAACGCUGGCGGCAGGCCUAACACAUGCAAGUCGAGCGAGAAAGCACUUCGGUGUGAGUACAGCGGCGGACGGGUGAGUAACGCGUAGGAAUCUACCCAGUAGUGGGGGACAACUUGGGGAAACCCAAGCUAAUACCGCAUACGCCCUAAGGGGGAAAGCAGGGGAUCUUCGGACCUUGCGCUAUUGGAUGAGCCUGCGUAGGAUUAGCUAGUUGGUGGGGUAAAGGCCCACCAAGGCGACGAUCCUUAGCUGGUCUGAGAGGAUGAUCAGCCACACUGGAACUGAGACACGGUCCAGACUCCUACGGGAGGCAGCAGUGGGGAAUAUUGCGCAAUGGGGGCAACCCUGACGCAGCCAUGCCGCGUGUGUGAAGAAGGCCUUAGGGUUGUAAAGCACUUUCAAUAGCGAGGAAAAGCUGUAGGUUAAUAACCUGCAGCCCUGACGUUAACUAUAGAAGAAGCACCGGCUAACUCCGUGCCAGCAGCCGCGGUAAUACGGAGGGUGCAAGCGUUAAUCGGAAUUACUGGGCGUAAAGCGCGCGUAGGCGGCUAUUUAAGUCGGGUGUGAAAGCCCCGGGCUCAACCUGGGAACUGCAUUCGAUACUGGAUAGCUAGAGUACGAGAGAGGGUGGUAGAAUUUCAGGUGUAGCGGUGAAAUGCGUAGAGAUCUGAAGGAAUAUCAGUGGCGAAGGCGACACUCUGGACCAAUACUGACGCUGAGGUGCGAAAGCGUGGGUAGCAAACAGGAUUAGAUACCCUGGUAGUCCACGCCGUAAACGAUGUCUACUAGCCGACUGGAUCCUUGAGAUCUGGGUGGCGCAGCUAACGCAUUAAGUUGACCGCCUGGGGAGUACGGCCGCAAGGUUAAAACUCAAAUGAAUUGACGGGGGCCCGCACAAGCGGUGGAGCAUGUGGUUUAAUUCGAUGCAACGCGAAGAACCUUACCAGGUCUUGACAUCCUACUAAGUUUCCAGAGAUGGAUUCGUGCCUUCGGGAAAGUAGUGACAGGUGCUGCAUGGCGGUCGUCAGCUCGUGUCGUGAGAUGUUGGGUUAAGUCCCGUAACGAGCGCAACCCUUGUCCUUAGUUGCCAUCUAGUAUGGUGGGAACUCUAAGGAGACUGCCGGUGACUCACCGGCGGAAGGUGGGGACGACGUCAAGUCAUCAUGGCCCUUACGACCUGGGCUACACACGUGCUACAAUGGCCGGUACAGAGGGCUGCAAUACCGCGAGGUGGAGCGAAUCUCAGAAAACCGGUCGUAGUCCGGAUUGGAGUCUGCAACUCGACUCCAUGAAGUCGGAAUCGCUAGUAAUCGCGAAUCAGAAUGUCGCGGUGAAUACGUUCCCGGGCCUUGUACACACCGCCCGUCACACCAUGGGAGUGGAUUGCACCAGAAGUAGGUAGCUUAACCUUCGGGAGAGCGCUUACCACGGUGUGGUUCAUGACUGGGGUGA
rnacentral:rRNA from 1 species